rnacentral:tmRNA from 1 species
GGGGGUGAUCGGUAUCGACUUCGACGGUUGAAAUGAGAGAAGCGAGCCGUGGUUUCCGGAGCCACGCUAAACAGCCGGAACAAACACAACAGCCAACGUCAAUCGUGACUCACUGGCACUCGCCGUCUAGCUACUAGACAGCGAGCCGGCCCGAAUACCCCUGCCCUGCGGGUACCGGUGCUUUUAUAUGCGGGGCUUGCUCGGUGCCGUUGUCGGUGCGGCGCCGGGGACUCUUAGCCGGCUAAGGCUCUAGUUGGGUGUCGUUGCCCUGCUGGUGCCCGACAAUCUUUCGACGACUGCGCUCGGAGAAGUCUCAUCGAAACGUUGAAGGACGCGGGUUCGAUUCCCGCCACCUCCACCA